GAUGAACGCUGGCGGCGUGCCUAAUACAUGCAAGUCGAGCGAACAGACGAGGAGCUUGCUCCUCUGACGUUAGCGGCGGACGGGUGAGUAACACGUGGAUAACCUACCUAUAAGACUGGGAUAACUUCGGGAAACCGGAGCUAAUACCGGAUAACAUGUUGAACCGCAUGGUUUAACAGUGAAAGACGGUCUUGCUGUCACUUAUAGAUGGAUCCGCGCCGCAUUAGCUAGUUGGUAAGGUAACGGCUUACCAAGGCAACGAUGCGUAGCCGACCUGAGAGGGUGAUCGGCCACACUGGAACUGAGACACGGUCCAGACUCCUACGGGAGGCAGCAGUAGGGAAUCUUUCGCAAUGGGCGAAAGCCUGACGGAGCAACGCCGCGUGAGUGAAGAAGGCCUUCGGAUCGUAAAACUCUGUUAUUAGGGAAGAACAAAUGUGUAAGUAACUAUGCACGUCUUGACGGUACCUAAUCAGAAAGCCACGGCUAACUACGU
rnacentral:rRNA from 1 species